ensembl:lncRNA
GGAUUCAAUUGUGUCGAUUUGAAUGCUUUUAUUUAAAUAUAUAUUAAGAAACCUCCAUACAUCAUAAGCAUUCCCAACAAUGACUUUAACUUAAACAUUCAAGACUUUUGGAUGGAAUUGCAAAAAUAUUUCCAUGAACAAGUUAUGUUUGCCUUCCAUUAAAAAAAAAAACAGAAAGAAAGAGAAAUAAAAAUACAACAUUUGACACGUCAUAUACAGGACUAAAAGUCAAAUAAUACCCAAUUACAACCAGUUAAGAAAGACCACAUCUCGUUGACGGGUAGCUUAUAUAUAUCCCACAAAUCCACUCAACUAUGCAAGAAAUAUGUUUUCAUACUUAAAAGGGGAUAUCAUUAACAAUAUCUUCUGUGCCAUUAAAAUUACACUAUAUUAUUAUGAUACGACUUCUUAAUCUGCUAUUAAUUACGACCAUCCUGUAUUCAAACAUUCCCUGUUGUGACAACGACAACCUCAUUGUUGGCAUUGUAUUGGAUUACAAACACCCCCACUUCCAAAAAGUGCUCCUCCACCAACUGCACAUCUGCAAGCAGCUCCUGGAGGUUGUUUUGACUCAGGUAUGUCAUCAGGACAGUCGAGGUCAAUGUCAACGUGAGUUUCACAUUCCCCUUAUUGACCCAGACUGUCCCGGUGGCAGCCUUUACAUAUGACCCGACCUUCUGAUAGAAGCCACAGGCCUCGCAGCGAUGGUUUAUGGCCUUUAUAUCGAAGGCCAGCUGCCAUUCGUGGCAGCUGCUGCACUGCCGUUGGUCAGCUAGUUUGACUCCACAGACUGGUCCCCGAACCGUAUUGCGCUCCACCUCCUCCUGCUCCACCUCCUGCUGCUCCACCUCCAGUCGCUGCCUCGCAACAGAUUCUGGAACCAGGACCUCCUCCUCUGAGUUUGGGAUGGUGGUGUUCUCAUGUAGCCAAAGUCAAGGGACUCCAGC